AUAUGCUUCACCAAAAAAAUAGAUAACCUUCCGCCAAUCCUCCACGCACGCACUACACGUUCUCCAUCUUCCUUCCUUCUUCCACACAACACUACUUCCACAGUUAAGGAUCGCUUUCUCUGCGCCGAAUUCAAAAGUUCAAUACCGAUUUCGAUCAAGUGUUCAAUUCCAAUCCACUUGAUCAAACCGAAAUUACCCAAACCAAAAUUAAAGAGUUCCCUUCAAUCUAAAUCCCAAUUUUUUUGUGUUUAAGCUUCUUCUCCAGCGAACGUUUCUCGGCUGCGACUGCAUUUUCGUCUUUCCUGGUGAACCUCAGGUGCAAAUUGGUUCACAUACUUUCACGAAUUACGUUUUCGGAAAUUGGGGAACGCCAUGUCUCGGAUUUUUGACAAAUCUGUUACCCCUUUAGUUGAUGCUUUGUGCAAGGGAUAUAAUGGAAUCGUCCUCACUUAUGGACAAGGAGGAAAGGGUCGGGGAAUAUUCCAAAGGUAGAAUUGAUGGACUAGAACCCAUAAGCUUCAUAACUGUUGCAAUUCCACAUCUGGGUUCACGAGGUCACAGACAGGGUUCUGAUAAGCGGCAAACGAGAUGGUUCCUUUGACACCUGCUGUAUUGAACCUUUCCGAGUUGUUUCUCUUGAAGAAGAUGUGAAGGAGCUUGAGAUCAAUAUUCCUAUGUCAAUCGUCCAUUGUGGUUUUAAGUGCAGCUCUCUCUUUGUAUUUCUCUUAGCUUGAUGGAGCUGAGAACUGCACAAGAAGUUUCAGUUCAAGUGCAGAGACCAAUAAUGUUUGCUCCAUUAUCACCUUGUUUUGGUGUUACUCCUGUGAUAAACAGAGAUAAAGCUUCUCCUUGUAAAUUCAAUCUAAGAAAAGUUAAAAGCUUGACAGAUUUUGUUUCAUCUAGAAAAUUGAAGAAGGCAUACCAUGGAGAAGGCACUUGUGACAGUAAGUUCUCUACUGGAAUUGAGGAUUCAGAAUCCCCUUUGACACAGACUCAUUUGGUGAUACCGAUGAGGGUGAUUCAGAGGAAACUAAGGAGGAUGUUGAUGUUCAAAAGUCCUGCAGUUAUGGCACUUUAUUACAUGCCAACUUCGCUAGAGGAGCACUUGACUUAGGAACCAAUUAUGGGGGCGAUGAUUUGGUUUAUUACAGAAGACAUAAACCAAAUGUAGACAUCUCACUUUCUCAAGAUUUUGGCACACCAAUCUCUGAACAAAUAAUCCAGAGGCAGAGUCCAAUAUUUGGUAUUUCAUGGACGAAAGGGAAGUUGAGUUUCAAAUGUCGUAGAGUCAAAGGAGAACCCUUGCUGAAGAAGGAUUAUGGCGAACAAGGUGGAGAUGAUAUUGAUUUUUAUUGCCGGCAGCUUUCCUCUGAUGAAUCCUUAGCGGGAGGAAAGGGCUGGGGAAGAUUGCAAAGGUAGAAUUGAUGGACUAGAACCCAUAAGAUUCAUGACUGUUGCAAUUCCACAUCUGGGUUCAGGAGGUCACAGACAGGUUGUUCCAGUACGUCCAAGGUGCCAAUCUGAAGUCCUAGAAUCCCCAUGAUAAAACCUGUGUUAACUAGCAUUGUUCCUGAAGCUGGACCUCCUCAUUCUUCAGCGUGUCUUGUUCACUUCUACUUGCAUGUUAAGUUCCAAGGAAGGGAAGAAAAUUGUCUUGUGGCCUCAACUGAUUUGGUUGUUGCAGGAAUCAUCGUACAUUCUACUGGCAUCUAUCUCUAAAGCAGUCAGUCACACUAGAUUCUCCAGAUUCAGAGUUGAUUAUUCACGAGCACUGAAAAUUGAAGAGGAUAAAAAUUUUCCGUUCUGAGUACAUCAAGAAUACAUUGACGACAGUUGCGGCAACCAAAGGAAGAGUCUUCUUAGCACCGAUUACUUAUGUUUUUCGACUGGGAUUUCUGUACAACGUUUUAAUUUUAUCUGUUUUCUAGUAUGUUUUUAUUCUAGUGUGUAUUUAGGCACAUAUGAUUUUAAGUUAUGCACGAGACAUCGAGACGUUUAUUUGAUAUGAUAGAAUGAAGUUGGAUCUUAUACAUAUUCAAUUUGUAAUAUUUAUUUAUUUAUUUAUUUAUUUAUUU